GUGGAAGGGGGAAGAACAGAGAAAAUACCCUUUGAACUUUUCCAGUAGGCUCACGCAGGACUGCCGGUCAAACCCACCCCGAGCCAAGCAGCUGCGGAGCCCAGGGCAUGAUUCAGUGGUGCGACGCGUCUAUCGGAACUUCCCAGAACACACGGAUGCCGGGCUUGAUACACCUUCCAAGAUGAUGCUUUACUCAAGACGUCUACUCCAAGUCCUUCCUUGUACAUGUAUACUUCAAAUUUUUUAUUCCAAAAGGUGCAAACAGGCUUACAGGAAAACACCAGCACAGAGACACUGCCCUGAAAACCUGCAUAGCUUCCUUCUGUGGCAGGAGGACAGUCCGAGAUGUCUCCACACCUUCCAGUGGCACUAUAUGCUACCCUAAGCCUUUUUUGAACCUCCCAAUUCCCCCCUCCUGCCAGGACAAGGGUACAAAGCAGAGUCUUGUUGCAAUUUGUUUCAAGAGAGGGAGAGGCAGCGACCUUGUUUACCGAGAGCAACCUCAGUGUGUAUGAGCAACGAGCUGUGUGGAGAGACUGCCUGCCUUGGCUGCCGUUCCUCUCUCGUUAAAGACCACAGGAAAUGAUGGACAUUUCUAAACCGGAAAAAUUUGCAUGCAAGCUUGGGCUAACCACAAGAAAAUAAAGCACACGGCAAGAAUCACAAGGCUCAUGGCAGAAGAGGAA